GACGAACCGUGCAAACGUUAUUCGGAAUCACUGGGCAUAAAGGGCGCGUAGGCGGCUUUCUAAGUCAGGGGUGAAAUCCGGCAGCUCAACUGUCGCAGUGCCUUUGAUACUGGAGAGCUCGAGGGAGGUAGGGGUCUGUGGAACUUCCGGUGGAGCGGUGAAAUGCGUUGAUAUCGGAAGGAACGCCGGUGGCGAAAGCGACGGACUGGAUCUCUUCUGACGCUGAGGCGCGAAAGCGUGGGGAGCGAACGAGGA
rnacentral:rRNA from 1 species